ensembl:lncRNA
GUGCUGCACUUUUAAUUCCAUUAAAAACAAGCAACCACCUUCAACAUAUCAAGUGCUUAGAUUUGCAUUUCUGUCUGUAGGGAACGACCACACAAGACCGACCCAACACAACAAAAGCAAUGAACAGGGGAAUUCAGUGGUGGGUGUGACCACUGUGGCUGGUGGGGGGAGAAUGCAAGAGCAACGGGCUGCUCAAGUGGAGGCGUCCGCGUGGGUCCUGAGACCCCAGCAGUCAGCCUCUUGGAGGGCGAAGGGCCGACUCAGCGACCCCAGCCCGGUGCCACUCGGUCCGCAGGGCUCUGGGAGCGGGUCACACAGGGCGGGGGCGGGCUCCAGCGCUGAUGCUCCAGACUUCUUCGGCCACAGCGCAGCCUGCCGGACCCUGGGACUGUUCUCAGCCCCUCAGCUCACCCCUCAGGACGCCCUCCUGGACAGUGCCCGAGGAGCGAGGAAAACAAUCCAACGUUCCAGCUGUCCCCUUCCACAUCCGCCAGUCACCGAAAAGCACACGAUGGAAAUUCCCUAGACGCAGCUCUUUUCCUGUUUAGUGCACUCCGCGCUGUGCCUUCCGGAGGGCCAGGGUGAGGGCGAGGGCCCCGAGGCGCCUCACAGGGGCCGGCCGGGAGCUGUCUAGCGCGGCGACUCGGCUAGUCACCGUUCCCAGACGGCUCGCGUGUGAAGGACUUCUGUGUCAGAGGAAGGCUCCGCGGACUUCUUCCCCAGAGCCUCGGAAUGUACCUUUUGGAGACCUGCAAACCCCAGGUGGUGACUACACUGUCAAGACUACCUGACCAAAGAGAUGUGUGUAUUUACAUAAAAACCAGUUAAACGCACAGAUCAUUUUAUACCACAGUUACAAACAGGAACAGAUGCUAAGUUUGGUGCUUUACUAUGCAACAAAAUGCCUUUAAAAAUUGUGAAAUGACCACGUGGCCACAUUCUAAGCAGUAACUGAGACCCCUAGUCUGUUCAACAAUAAACAUCAGGUGUGUGAAAACGUAAAAUUAGUAGAAAAUCAAACAGGUGACAAGAGUCAUUAAAGCAGUGGCUCCCAAACUCAUUAAAAAAAAUAGUAGAAUCAGCCAGGUGUGGUGGCACAUGCCUGUAACCCCAGCACUCAGGAGGCUGAGGCAGGAGGAUCGCUGCGAGCCUGGGCUACAGUGAGUUCAUGGCCAGAUGGAACUACAUAGUGAGACCUUGUCUCAAAAACAAAAACAAAAAACCCCCCAAACAAUCAUUUCUAAAUAGUGGAAGUGUUUUAGCCGCUAAAAUCUUGUAUGGCACCUGGCAUACAUGGGCUGCAGGGCCUGAAAGAGGUGAGAAGCUGGGAGCCUCCCAGGCUCAUGCCCCUCGGGGUCCCCUCUUCCAGUCCCAAAGCAACUCCUCGCUGUCAUCGGACUAAAGACUCCAGCUCCGCGUGCAAACUGCAGCUACCAGUUUUCACGUAACAGCAAACACGUCAGUUUGGACAGGAUGCAAACACAUUUUUCAGUUUCUACAGAAGGUCAGUUUCGGGCAAAGAUGGCAGUUAGCAGAGUGAAGGAAAACCACUCUUAAACAUCCCGUUAAAGUUUUUCAAAAGCCGGGGCUGAGCGCAUGAGGCGCACCCAGGCAGCUUUCAGGUUUCGGUUUCAGUGCGCACCAGCAUCGUCCCGCUGCCUAUUAAUAAAAACCGAAAUUCCGAGGUCCCAUUCCCACCUGCCUGCCUGGUUCUGGUUCGUGUUUUUGUUUUGUUUUCUUUUCUGAGACACGGUCCGGUCCGCUGUGUAGCCCAGGCUGGCCCUGAACUCGCUGAGGGCUUCCCGAGUGCGGGGAUCACAGACGUGCGCCCCCUGCCGGGCCGGCCUGGCUCUGACACUGCGCAGCGUGCAGAGGAUGCCUCGGACACAGGAGACCCGGCCGCCGACCGGCAGAGAAAGGCAGACACUGGGUCGAAAAGCAAAACCGACCUCUCCUGUCUUGCUGCCGAGAGUUACCUUCAGUUGGGUUGGGGCAGAGUCACAAAACUUUUUUUUCUUAAAUUUCUAGAUUUAAAAAAAUAAAUCUAACAUUCCACUGUCCUAAAUUGGGUAAAAUUUAAAAACAAAAACAGUAUUUUUAAAAUAAAACGCUGGUUCUUGCUUCAAUAUUAUCAUUUUGAAUGAAAGCUGCACAAAACUAUCACCUAUUCUACUGACUCUUUUCGUCCAAAUUGGGUAUUCAGGUCCAUAUUAAUCUGUAAAUUACCAUAACCGUUAAAUUUUCCAGUUAGUGCAAAUUAAAAAUCCUAAAACAUACAUUGGCUACAAUUGUAGUUUAUAUUACAAAUGCAAAUUAUUUUUCUUUUGACAUGCUGGUAGUAUUCAUUUUUACAGCGCAAAAAGGACUGCAGUUUCUGAGUCUCUGUGUAUUUUACAACUCCACGUAGGCAAAUGUAUUUCAAAAAGCAAAUACUACAUGUUUUGACACACCCUAAAAAAAUAAAGACAAAUAAUUUUGAAUAUAAAAUUUUUAUAAACAAUAGCCACAUUAAAGGUUCACAGCUAGUAAGUAGUUGCAGAAAACCUAAAACACUUAUGUCAUCUUAAUAGGCAAUUUGUAUUCUAAAACACAAGGCCGUUUGGCUCCUACUAAAUAUAACAAAGCACUGAACGUUAUCAUGUAACGAGCUGCCAGGUUUUCACUGUUUUAGCCAUAAGUUUACAGGAAUUAGGAAUAUAUUAGGGCAGUAAAAGAUGAGAGAAAUGUGGCAACAGAUAAGGAAAUAAGAUUUACUUCUUAUAUUUUUUCCUGAGAAUGUAGAAGUUAUUUAAUACCAAGAAAAU